GUCGAGGGGCAGCAUGGUCUUAGCUUGCUAAGGCCGAUGGCGACCGGCGCACGGGUGAGUAACACGUAUCCAACCUGCCGUCUAUUCUUGGACAGCCUUCUGAAAGGAAGAUUAAUACAAGAUGGCAUCAUGAGUCCGCAUGUUCACAUGAUUAAAGGUAUUCCGGUAGACGAUGGGGAUGCGUUCCAUUAGAUAGUAGGCGGGGUAACGGCCCACCUAGUCUUCGAUGGAUAGGGGUUCUGAGAGGAAGGUCCCCCACAUUGGAACUGAGACACGGUCCAAACUCCUACGGGAGGCAGCAGUGAGGAAUAUUGGUCAAUGGGCGAGAGCCUGAACCAGCCAAGUAGCGUGAAGGAUGACUGCCCUAUGGGUUGUAAACUUCUUUUAUAAAGGAAUAAAGUCGGGUAUGCAUACCCGUUUGCAUGUACUUUAUGAAUAAGGAUCGGCUAACUCCGUGCCAGCAGCCGCGGUAAUACGGAGGAUCCGAGCGUUAUCCGGAUUUAUUGGGUUUAAAGGGAGCGUAGAUGGAUGUUUAAGUCAGUUGUGAAAGUUUGCGGCUCAACCGUAAAAUUGCAGUUGAUACUGGAUAUCUUGAGUGCAGUUGAGGCAGGCGGAAUUCGUGGUGUAGCGGUGAAAUGCUUAGAUAUCACGAAGAACUCCGAUUGCGAAGGCAGCCUGCUAAGCUGCAACUGACAUUGAGGCUCGAAAGUGUGGGUA
rnacentral:rRNA from 1 species